UCGAGGGGAGAGCAUGGCGUGCUCUGCCUCGGAUGUGUGUUUGGCUGUUGCCGCUGAUUACUAAGCUGUGUGUGCGUGUGUUUUUGGCUGCUGAUUACUAACCGUGUGUCUGCUUUGGGUGUAGUUCGCUCUUGCUGAAAUUGUUGUAGCUGGCUGGUAAGAUGAGUUGGUCCUGGAUCUGGAUCCACCGCUUCCUUCCUCUGAAUUUUUGUUCAAAUGGAGGAGCAGCUCAAGACAUUGAUAGUCCUUUCUCGCUACCUAGAGACUGGUAGGUUCCGCCAGUUUUGGGAUGAGGCAUCAAAGAACCGUAACAUAUUGGAAGUUGUUCCAGGUUCAAAGAACUUGAAGAAAUCAAUAUGACAAUAGGACAAGCUUCACCAGUAGAGCAACAAGGAGGCGUCAGCAAAGUUUGAGAAGUUUUAGGCUACGUCAAUUUCAGACCUGAUGUUGGGUUACUUACGUGUGUGUUGCUCCUUUCUGUGCAAGUAUUAAUAGAUUGAGAUGCAAUACCACAGUAUUUGCAACUGUUGUAAGAUUAUG